GCUGGGCACAGUGGUGUGUGCCUGUAGUCCCAGCUACUUGGGAGGCUGAGGCAGAAGAAUGGCUUGAACCCGGGAGGUGGAGGUUGCAGUGAGCCGAGAUUGCGCCACUGCACUCCACCCUGGGCAACAGAGCGAGACUCCGUCUCAA
rnacentral:SRP_RNA from 1 species